rnacentral:rRNA from 1 species
GACGAACCGUGCGAACGUUGUUCGGAAUCACUGGGCUUAAAGGGCGCGUAGGCGGCGUGACAAGUCACUUGUGAAAUCUCUGAGCUUAACUCAGAACGGCCAAGUGAAACUGUUGUGCUAGAGUGCAGAAGGGGCAAUCGGAAUUCUUGGUGUAGCGGUGAAAUGCGUAGAUAUCAAGAGGAACACCUGAGGUGAAGACGGGUUGCUGGGCUGACACUGACGCUGAGGCGCGAAAGCCAGGGGAGCAAACGGG